rnacentral:ncRNA from 1 species
AGGUAUUGGUCNUAAGCCUCACGUUGUCUUCACCCCAUACCCAUACAUGCAAGCCUCACCAUUACAGUGAAACAGCCUACUAACAAAAAACAGAGCCGACAUCAGGUCUGACACCCACGACGUCAAGCAACAGCCACACCCCCACGGGCCUGCAGCAGUACUUAAUAUUGGGCCAUAAGCGCAAGCUUGACCUAGUAGUGGGGCUACUAGGGCCGGUUAAUCUCGUGCCAGCGACCGCGGUUACACGACAGACCCAAGACAACAUUACCGGCGUAAAGCACGACUAAAAACCAGUUAUCAAAUUAAGGUUGAGGGAAAACUGGGCCGUAAAAAGCCAUAAGUCACACAAAUCACCACCCCUAAUAAUUAAACCGCUUUAACUCGUGAAAGCAGGGAUACAAACUAAGAUUAGAUACCUUACUAUGCCCCGCCGUAACACAGCAAUCAAAUAACUAAUUGCUCGCCAAAUAACUACGAGUAAAAACUUAAAAUUUAAAAGACUUGACGGUACUUCACAACAACCUAGAGGAGCCUGUCCAUAACCGAUAAUCCACGAUUAACCCUACCCGCUUUUGCCUUAACAGUCUAUAUACCGCCGUCGCCAGCUUACCUUGUGAAAGAAACAAAGCAAGCCUAAUAGCACCCCUAACACGACAGGUCGAGGUGUAACAAAUAAGCGGGCAAAGAUGGGCUACAUUUUCUCAUUAAGAAAAUACGAACAAAGUAUGAAAUAACAACCUGAAGGUGGAUUUAGCAGUAAGACAAAGACAUAAUACUUAUCUGAAACCAAUGCAAUGAAGUGCGUACACACCGCCCGUCAUCCCUGUAAAACAACAAAAACAUUCAUAAACCUACACAACCACAAAGCAGGGCAAGUCGUAACACGGUAAGCGUACUGGAAAGUGUGCUUA